CCUACGGGAGGCAGCAGUGAGGAAUUUUGGUCAAUGGACGAGAGUCUGAACCAGCCAAGUAGCGUGAAGGAUGACUGCCCUAUGGGUUGUAAACUUCUUUUAUAUGGGAAUAAAAUGUUCCACGUGUGGGUUUUUGUAUGUACCAUAUGAAUAAGGAUCGGCUAACUCCGUGCCAGCAGCCGCGGUAAUACGGAGGAUCCGAGCGUUAUCCGGAUUUAUUGGGUUUAAAGGGAGCGUAGGUGGAUUGUUAAGUCAGUUGUGAAAUGCUGCGGCUCAACCGUAAAAUUGCAGUUGAAACUGGCAGUCUUGAGUACAGUAGAGGUAGGCGGAAUUCGUGGUGUAGCGGUGAAAUGCUUAGAUAUCACGAAGAACUCCGAUUGCGAAGGCAGCUUACUGGACUGCAACUGACACUGAGGCUCGAAAGUGUGGGUAUCAAACAGGAUUAGAUACCCCAGUAGUC
rnacentral:rRNA from 1 species